rnacentral:rRNA from 1 species
GAAUUCACUAGUGAUUGUAGUCAUAUGGUUGUCUCAAAGAUUAAGCCAUGCAUGUCUAAGUAUAAGCAAUUUAUACAGUGAAACUGCGAAUGGCUCAUUAAAUCAGUUAUAGUUUAUUUGAUAGUACCUUACUACUUGGAUAACCGUGGUAAUUCUAGAGCUAAUACAUGCUAAAAACCCUGACUGCUUGGGAGGGGUGUAUUUAUUAGAUAAAAAAUCAAUGCCCUCGGGCUCUUUGAUGAUUCAUAAUAACUUGUCGAAUCGCAUGGCUUUACGCCGGCGAUGGUUCAUUCAAAUUUCUGCCCUAUCAACUGUCGAUGGUAGGAUAGUGGCCUACCAUGGUGGCAACGGGUAACGGGGAAUAAGGGUUCGAUUCCGGAGAGGGAGCCUGAGAAACGGCUACCACAUCCAAGGAAGGCAGCAGGCGCGCAAAUUACCCAAUCCUAAUUCAGGGAGGUAGUGACAAUAAAUAACGAUACAGGGCCCUUCUGGGUCUUGUAAUUGGAAUGAGUACAAUGUAAAUACCUUAACGAGGAACAAUUGGAGGGCAAGUCUGGUGCCAGCAGCCGCGGUAAUUCCAGCUCCAAUAGCGUAUAUUAAAGUUGUUGCAGUUAAAAAGCUCGUAGUUGAACUUUGGGCCUGGCAGGCCGGUCCGCUUUUUGGCGAGUACUGACCCUGCCGGGCCUUUCCUUCUGGCUACCCUCCCCUCUGGAGAGGCGAACCAGGACUUUUACUUUGAAAAAAUUAGAGUGUUCAAAGCAGGCCUUUGCUCGAAUAUAUUAGCAUGGAAUAAUAGAAUAGGACGUUUGGUUCUAUUUUGUUGGUUUCUAGGACCAUCGUAAUGAUUAAUAGGGACGGUCGGGGGCAUCAGUAUUCAGU